rfam:Gossypium raimondii Chr12_contig_565, whole genome shotgun sequence.
AUCCCAUGCUGAGGACACUUACUAAGUAACUCUUUGAAUCUCUUUCAUGCCUCAUACAAGGAAUCAUCAUCCAAUUGUUGGAAGUGGUGAUCUCAUUUCGCAACUU